AAACAGACCCUAAACGUUACUAUUUUAAGAGGAUUAAAUGCAUUGUGUAUAAUAGGGAAUUGUAUCCAGGGGGUGGGGGUGGAAUUGGCUAAUAGCAUAAUUUCACAAAUGCUUGUGCUACGAUAUUUAUGUUUUAUAGCAGUGUUCAUGCUUCCACUGCUGCAAAAGGGAGAACACACUUAAAUUUAGUUAUGAAACUUAAAAGUUGAUACUUUCUUUUAUCAGCACAAAGAUUACAAAGGAACCCAAUGUGGACUUUGGUGGUGGCAACAGAGGCACUCUCAAAUGAUGAUGAAGCUCUUAUUAACAGAAAGUUACCAAAAGAACUCCUUUUAAGAAUAUUUUCCUUCUUGGAUGUAAUUACCUUGUGUCGAUGCGCACAAGUUUCUAAGUCUUGGAAUGUGUUGGCCCUGGAUGGGAGUAACUGGCAAAGAAUAGACCUUUUUAACUUUCAGACAGAUGUAGAGGGCCGGGUCUUAGAAAAUAUUUCCAAAAGAUGUGGUGGGUUCCUGAGACAACUGAGUCUGAGAGGCUGUCUUGGGGUUGGAGAUACUUCUUUAAAAACAUUUGCACAGAACUGUAGAAACAUUGAACAUUUGAACCUUAAUGGAUGCACAAAAAUUACUGAUAGCACUUGCUUUAGCCUUAGCAAAUUUUGCCCCAGGCUAAAACAUCUGGAUCUGACAUCUUGUAUUUCCAUCACAAACAACUCUUUGAGAAGUUUAAGUGAGGGAUGCCAAAAUCUGGAACUCUUGAAUCUUUCCUGGUGUGAUCAGAUUACAAAAGAUGGCAUUGAAGCACUGGUGAAAGGGUGCAAUGGACUAAAAGCACUAUUUCUUAGAGGAUGCACACAGCUGGUAGAUGAGGCGCUUCACCACAUUGAGACUCAUUGCCAUGAACUGGUUAUCUUAAACUUGCAGUCAUGCAUGCAAAUAUCGGAUGAAGGCAUAGCAGGUAUCUGUAGAGGAUGUCACCAACUCCAAUCGCUUUGUGUUUCUGGUUGUACAAACCUUACAGAUGCUUCCCUCGUAGCACUUGGUCUGAACUGUCCAAGACUGAAGAUUCUGGAGGCUGCAAGGUGUUCCCAUCUCACUGAUGCUGGUUUUGCACUUCUAGCACGGAAUUGCCGUGAACUAGAAAAGAUGGACCUAGAAGAAUGUGUUCUGAUAACAGAUAACACAUUGAUACAACUUUCCAUUCAUUGCCCUAAACUGCAAGCAUUGAGCUUGUCCCACUGUGAACUGAUCACGGAUGAUGGGAUUCUGCAUCUGAGCAGCAGCACAUGUGGACAUGAAAGACUCCAAGUACUUGAAUUGGACAACUGCCUUCUAAUCACAGACGUGACCCUAGAGCAUCUUGAAAAUUGCCACAACUUAGAAAGAAUUGAAUUAUAUGACUGUCAGCAAGUCACCCGUGCAGGCAUCAAAAGAAUAAGAGCUCAUCUACCAGAUGUGAAAGUUCAUGCUUACUUUGCUCCAGUAACUCCGCCUCCUUCUGUAGGAGGCACUCGCCAACAACUCUGCCGAUGCUGCAUUAUUCUUUAGCAGGUAACGAGUGGCACUGAAGAUGUUGGAUGAAAGAAUGAAUGACUGGGAGCAACCAUGGUUAAGCUAUAAAACAAUGUGGUGUUGUUUUUUCCAACCAUCCAAUUCUGCACUGGUCAUAAUUCCAAUGCUAAUUUACAGGUAAAAUAUCACGUAGAUAUGGAACAGUAUUGGCACUUGGAUUGACUAUUCUCCUCUAGCAUUUCUGCCAUUGCAGUGCCAAUGUGUACUAGCCUGGUGUGGAGAUAUGAGUGUCAAGUUUAUCAGAACAAAAUACCAACAGUAGAACCCUACAGUUAGUUGCACCUCCAUGGUUUAAGUAUUAAAGAUCAUUGGGGAAAACCUUUAACACAUGUAACCAAAAAUGUAUUUAGCUGUUGGCACAGUUGCUCUACAGAACCUGAACAGGCCAUAGUAUUAUAACUUGCCUUCAAGCAAAGGCAAAUGUAACCUGUUGAACAAAGCGGCUUCUCUGGAAUGGUAUGCAGGAAGCACCCAGAAGAUAGUCGCUUAUCACACUCCCCAGUGCCCCAGAGCAGGCAGUGUCAUGUGAUGCAGAGUUGAACUUCAGCCUUCAUAUGACAUCAAGCAUGGAACAGGUAUAGCCACAGCUGCAAAGGAACUUCCCUUUGUUCAAUGGAAUGUAAUUCUAAACAAUUGUGUAUAGCUGAUGCCCAUAAAUUGUUCUGGAUCUCUGCUCUGGUGCACUGUACGAAGAUUGUGGGAAGGGGGAUUUGAAGGGGAAAGGCAAGGUUGAGAAGAAAAAUGAAAUAGACCAAACACAUGUAAAAGUUGCCAAAUUUUAUUCAGCGCUGGGGGGCGGGGGGGAACCUAUCUGCCUAGCUAAGAAGACAGGGCCAGUCUGGAGAGUGUGGGGCGAUUUGUCCCACAGCAAGGAUCUUCAUGUGAUCCUGCCUGUCCAGUCAGAGGAGAGGAGCCAUCGAAGCGUAAGGACUGUGGCUCCAGGAGCCUCUGGGGAAUAGAUUCCCUUCUGAAAGUAGCAGGGCAGCUGCAAAGGAAGCAUCAGGAGCACUCCCUAUUGUUCCUUUGCUACCACGGCUUCACCUUUCCCAUGCCUGAUGCCAUAUGACAUCAGGUGCCCCAUGAAGGGUGGGCCAUUUGUUCUAGCUCUCUGGCCAAAGGGGCUUCUCUUCAUGCCUGCUCCUUCCAGAGUCAGCAAUGUUGAAAAAAGGAAAAAAAGAACAAAACAAAUCUCAUGGGAAACAAAAGCAGCUCAAGAGUCUGUAUGCAAGCCUUUUUAUGGGCACUUUUCCAUGAUGUGUUGAAAGACUCCCCUCUUUUGGGUAUAGGGUCUGAGGCUCCUCUUCCUUCUCUACAGAGGAAUCCUUAGGACUCCCCUGAGAAGGAAGAAGAGUGGUCUCACAUGGCAGCAGCAAGAUGCUUACACCAGUUACUCCAUUCUGAUGAUUUUGUGCCUUUUCUUUCUAGGGUAUUGUCCCUAGAUCUGGAAUCAUAAGCAGACCUUGACAUCCCAGUCAUAGUCUAGAGAAGCACCAGAUUUUCCAGCUCCAAAUUCUUCUUCCAGUGAGGUUCCCUUUCUGGCACUGUUCCGAAAGCUGGUCAGUGCUGAUUGAUCGACACCCUUGCAAGGCAGGCAGGCAAAGAACUUCAUCUCAAUUGAAGCACAGAAAGCAGAGGGGGAAGCUGGCAUGUACAGGUGGCUGUCUUUCACGCCUUUGGUGCACAAUGGGGAUUAAGCCCCAAUUAUAGGGCAACAAUAAAUCAUGUUCUGAUUUCUGACAAAGCAAAUAUGCAUUUCAAAGAUGUGCUACACUGAAGCUACACCCAAAUAUGCAUGCUUGCAUUUUUUACUUCCAGAUGUGAAUUCUAAGCAUUUUUUUUUACAAAGAUAUAUUCGCUUUAGAUGUAAUGGUUUAAAACAACAUCAACAACUGAAAUAGUAUAGGAAGGUGCCUGAAAUGUGAAGGUUCAGCAUUUGUUUUGAUACAGUAUGUAUUUUAUAUUACAUUAUGAUUGCUUUCAAUACACUAACUGAAUGAUAUUCCUUCUGAGAUUGUAAUCCAUGCUGCCUAUGAUUAAAUAGGACAUUUUAGAUCAAUAAUUUUCUCAAGAUUAUGACGGUUAAGCAGAAAUUAACACUGGAUUAAAGCAAAUGCAUUCUAGCUGAAUAAUUACUGCAUUUUAAGGGUGCUAUCCUACAGUCCCUCGGAUGGUUAUACCAGAGACUAAGAUUUUGCAGAGCUCUUUUUCUCUGUGGGUGGAGGUCUGCCGUCCCACUGCUCCUGUGUAAGCCUGUUGCUUUGUUCACCACAACCAAUCCUUCCCAUGACCCAGUAGAAUUGUAUACCAAGAAUUAUAAACAGAAAGCUUCCUCCGUCAGUUAAAAAUGAAAGGAUAAAAGCUUUGACUGUCUAUCUCUAUCCCUUUAACUUUUUACACUACCCCCCUUACCUUUUUAGGCUGCACAUUUAUGGUAAAUUUAAGAUAUAAGUAUCAGUAGCCUUUAUGCCUUCUGAAAUUACACUUAAAGUACACAUUUGAUUCUAAGCGAAAGUUUUAGAUGUUGACCACUCAAGAACUUAUCAGUGAUUUAUUUGUAAAUGUUCUCUCUAUUUUGUAUUACUUUCCCUCAGAUAUGCAAUCUUCUGUUUCCAACCAAAGGAGCCAACUGUUUGUAUACAUGAUUGCAGCACAAGUUUGAACAGCUCUUUCAGAAGAGCUCUUUAGUCUUCUGCUAUUGUCAUGAAUGGACAGAACAGAUUUCCAAUUCUCACUAUAUCUUGACCAAAAGGACACUGCUGAAACCCUUAUUGAAAGCAUCAAUGCAAAAGCUAUGAAAAAAAGAGGACACAGUAGAAUCAUGUGAAACCUUGACCAGCCUAGUGGGGGUAGAAAACGUCUUAGGAAAAUUCAGUUUAGAGCAGCAAGACCCAGGUUCAGAUCACCACCAGCCAUGAAGCUCAAUGGAUGAUCUUGGGCUAGCUGCUAUUUCUCAUUCCAAUCUACUUCACAGGUUGUCAUACAGUGGAAGGAGCAGGAAUGGCACAAAAAACAUUUAGUGGCUUUUUAAAAGGAAGGUUUUGAGGUUUUUUGUUACCACAAGAUAGCACUCAGUGAUGAUUGCCAUCCUGUAAGCCAACAAGAGCUUUCCACCACUGGCCACCUUAGGGAUAGAAAGCGUUGGCAUGCUACAUCAGUGAUAGGGAACUUCUUCAGCCCGGCUGGAUGAAUCCCCACCUCCCUGAAGACCACCUGUUAUUUGCUUGCUGACAGAGCUGAUCAGCAAGGCCUGCCUGAAAAGGAACAACUGAGAGCACACUGUAUGCUCCCAACCAUUCAGUUGCUGCCGCAACUUUACCUGCUCCACACUCAGUAUCACAUAUCCCCCAUGUAUGAGAAGUCGAAGUAGCCUCAACUAGAAGCCAGGCACUUGUGUUUCUGGUACCGCACUCUGGAAUACUCUUCUAGUAGAGAUUUGGCAUGGCUUACUUUCAAAUGUCUCAUGAAUUAUUAUUAUUUUUUAUGCCAGACAGGUCUAUUCAGUUGUUUACUUUUUAUUUUUUUCAGAAUGAGCCAGCAUUUUGUAUUGAUUUUCUGCAUCUUACAUUUUAUUGUAUGGUAUACAUUGUUGGGUUGAUAUUUUAUAUGAGUAUAUAAUAAUAUAUAACAUUAUAUAAUAUAUAUCAUAUUAUUAUAUAAUAAUAUAUAAUAAAAUAAUUCUUAUUUUUUACAGUAGAUAAUCAAGAUAGCUAUAUAGGGAAUGUACAAGUGAUUUGGAGAAAACAGACAGUGGGUCAAAUUAGGGCCCCUGCUGGAAUUCAAAGUGCCAGUUCAUAGGAGAGAGAAUGUUACCAUUCAAAUGUAUUGUCAGUCUAGCCAAGGACAUUUUAACAGCUGGAUAUGCUUGAACUGGCUCUUUCACUGGCAGCUGCUUUCAUGCUAACAAAUGGAGGCGGCCUAUUUUGUUGUGUGUACAAAGGGAAGAAUAAAAGCCUACAUCAUUCAA